UCCCUUGUAGUCCAGAGGUGAGGAUUCUGCGCUUUCACUGUAGAAGGGCCAGGUUUAAUCCCUGGUCAGGGAA
rnacentral:tRNA from 1 species